CCCCAAGACUCACCCCCACACCCCAAGACUCACCCCAACCCCACCCUCCUAGACAUCCCCCCGCCAACACUCGGCCCCACCUCCAACUCGCCCCCUCCCCCUUACCCCGCGCCCUCUCUCUCCGCCUCCUUGCACGCCCCCAAAGCCCCGCCCUCGCACGCCCCAUCCCGGCCCCGCCCAAGCUCACGUCCACCGCGGGCCCCGCCCUGCGCACCUACUCGCCCCAUCCUCCCCUCCCCGGGUCAAAGGUCAAAGCCCCCUCCUCCCCACCACCCAACCCACCGGCUCCCCUGGCGGCCCCAACUGCCACCCCGGCCCCUCCUCUUCGCCGUCACCCUUGGCAACCAGCUUCGCCCCAUUCGCCGCCUCCACCUCCUCCUCUUCCUCUUCCUCCUCGUCUCACGGGAACCCGGCCCUGUGUGCCAAGGCGGCCGGCGGCCUGACCAAUGGGAACGCGAAGCCCGUGUCCACGGCGACCUCGGGACCAAUCACGCCCUUCCACACUCCCGCCAGUCCCGCCGGCCGACAGGGACCACAGACCAAUCCGAUGGGGAUACCGGGUCUCGUGCGAGCCAAUCAGAGCCCGGCGCCCGUCAGGCAGGGGGUUUCCCAGCAGGCAUUGCUCUUAGGGAAAAGCCUCAAAGGGUCUGGCCAAGAUCAGGUGCUGCUCAGAGCCCAGAUGCUCCAGAGCCUCACCCUCCGGCCCCCCUGGGACCCUCGGCAUCCCCCUCCCUCCGCCUGAAGCCCCCCUCUCGGCCCCCCACCCUCGCUCGCCCGGACCCCUCUCUUCCCCCGCUCAGGCCCCGCCCAACCCAGCGCCACGGCGACGGAGGGCCCGAUCCCGCCCAACCGCCACCUCUCCGUCG
ensembl:lncRNA